rnacentral:rRNA from 1 species
GACGAACGCUGGCGGCGUGCCUAACACAUGCAAGUCGAGCGAUGAAAUUCCCUUCGGGGAAUGGAUUAGCGGCGGACGGGUGAGUAACACGUGGGCAACCUGCCUCAAAGUGGGGAAUAGCCCUCCGAAAGGAGGAGUAAUACCGCAUAACAUGAGAGAAUCGCAUGAUUUUUUCAUUAAAGAUUUAUCGCUUUGAGAUGGGCCCGCGGCGCAUUAGCUAGUUGGUAAGGUAAUGGCUUACCAAGGCGACGAUGCGUAGCCGACCUGAGAGGGUGAUCGGCCACAUUGGAACUGAGAUACGGUCCAGACUCCUACGGGAGGCAGCAGUGGGGAAUAUUGCGCAAUGGGGGAAACCCUGACGCAGCAACGCCGCGUGGGUGAUGAAGGUCUUCGGAUUGUAAAACCCUGUCUUUGGGGACGAUAAUGACGGUACCCAAGGAGGAAGCCACGGCUAACUACGUGCCAGCAGCCGCAGUAAAAC